rnacentral:rRNA from 1 species
AUUGAACGCUGGCGGCAGGCCUAACACAUGCCAGUCGAGCGGAUGAAGGGAGCUUGCUCCUGGAUUCAGCGGCGGACGGGUGAGUAAUGCCUAGGAAUCUGCCUGGUAGUGGGGGAUAACGUCCGGAAACGGGCGCUAAUACCGCAUACGUCCUGAGGGAGAAAGUGGGGGAUCUUCGGACCUCACGCUAUCAGAUGAGCCUAGGUCGGAUUAGCUAGUUGGUGGGUAAAGGCCUACCAAGGCGACGAUCCGUAACUGGUCUGAGAGGAUGAUCAGUCACACUGGAACUGAGACACGGUCCAGACUCCUACGGGAGGCAGCAGUGGGGAAUAUUGGACAAUGGGCGAAAGCCUGAUCCAGCCAUGCCGCGUGUGUGAAGAAGGUCUUCGGAUUGUAAAGCACUUUAAGUUGGGAGGAAGGGCAGUAAGUUAAUACCUUGCUGUUUUGACGUUACCAACAGAAUAAGCACCGGCUAACUUCGUG